rnacentral:rRNA from 1 species
CGGCGGACGGGUGAGUAACACGUGGAUAACCUACCUAUAAGACUGGGAUAACUUCGGGAAACCGGAGCUAAUACCGGAUAAUAUAUUGAACCGCAUGGUUCAAUAGUGAAAGACGGUUUUGCUGUCACUUAUAGAUGGAUCCGCGCCGCAUUAGCUAGUUGGUAAGGUAACGGCUUACCAAGGCAACGAUGCGUAGCCGACCUGAGAGGGUGAUUGGCCACACUGGAACUGAGACACGGUCCAGACUCCUACGGGAGGCAGCAGGC